rnacentral:rRNA from 1 species
CGGCCGCGUCGACCAACUUCGGAUCUGCGGUGGGUACGGGCAGACUAGAGUGAUGUAGAGGAGACUGGAAUUCCUGGUGUAGCGGUGAAAUGCGCAGAUAUCAGGAGGAACACCGAUGGCGAAGGCAGGUCUCUGGGCAUCUACUGACGCUGAGGAGCGAAAGCAUGGGGAGCGAACAGGAUUAGAUACCCUGGUAGUCCAUGCCGUAAACGUUGGGCACUAGGUGUGGGGGACAUUCCACGUUUUC